CGCCGCCGGCGGCCGGAGGUUUGUGCGUUUCGGAGCCGACCCGCAGCAUCAGAAACAAACAGCAACAGCCUGUGGCGGCGGCGGCGGCGGCGGCCGACAGACGUGACAAGAGGAGCUGAAUUAACAACGUGAAGUUCAUUUAAAAGCAUCUCUGACCUUUUCCUGAAACGAGGCGGCAGCGGGAACGGCAGCAGCUCAGCGGGCGGAGGGACGUCCUGCAGCAGAGGACAGAGACGGCGCGUCCUCCGGCCAACAAUAAACACCGCAGGACCUUCAUGCCACAUGUAACGUUUGGCCGUCAUCAGACCCGGCCUCGCCGUGGCGUCCACCAGGGCUCCGUACUGGGCUGGUUUGUUUCUGCUGUACAUUUACUCAGCAGUUCAUCAUGUCGUCUCUUUCUGCCUGUUUUUUAUUUUAUUGCUCCUUUAAAAUGUCUCAGGUCCACAUUCAGCUCUUUGACUCUCUGUCUUUCACACAUAAACUGAUGGCUUACAUUGCAUAAUAAUAUUCCUAACAGUAAGGAAAACUUUUGCCUAGUGGUAUUCCUCAGGUUUUAGACAUAAAAACAUAACAUAAAAAAUCUGGCAGUUAUUUUUGAUGAAGUUUUCAGAAAAACAAACCAAACAGCUUCUUAAGAUCUUCUUGUUGUUCAUGUCUAAACAAAACGACCUUCAGCUGAAACAUAACUGCAGCCAAACUGAACCUCGUCUUCAAAUCUCUUCACUCUGUAGAAUAUCGCUUUAACUUUUACAUCUCAGUUUGACAUUCAGAGACAAAUCCUGCCAAGAAAAUCCAAUCUGCUGUUGAUCGUUGGAUUCUACUGAUUUUAAAAAGCCAUUUAAUUUAAACAAACACUUUGGCCUCAGUAGCUGCGUUUCCAUUGGUCAUAGAAAUGCACAAACUGGAAUUAUACAAAUAAAGUCACUUAAUGGAAACACAGCAACUAAGAAAAAAUGUUUUUUGACUAAAUGUUUUGGAGAUAGGAUGAGCUGUUUUCUGGCAGCAUUGAAAUUGGUGUGUUUAGCAAAACUGGAUUGGAAAUUUCAUGAUCAGCAACCGAAUGUUUCUACAGGUGGAAACGACAAAGAAGAUGACAGGAAGUGGUAGAGGAUGAUGUUUAAUGACUUAUCAUGUGAACAAACGGUAUUCACAUGUGAUCUUAACUUAUCUAAUGGAAACAUUACAACUGUUAAACUGUUUAUGACAUUAGCAGAAUAUCUGUCAUUAGUCAUAGAAACAGCUACUUCUACCUGGGCUGCUGUGAACAUUAUUAUAUUAAAUGUUUUUCCUAUGAAGCUCUUCUGAGAAAGGUGCUAAAUAAAUCAAAGUUGCUCGUUUGCUCACCUCCAGGCAUGUGGAUGCUGAUCCAGGUAAAAUCCGUCCUGUGGAGGUAAAUAAUGCAGCAUAAAAACAUGCAGACCGAGUUCAGGAAGUGGAUAAUCUUUGUGCUUCAUCUCAUAAAUGCCAACGAUAACUGAAGAUAAAAUUAGAUUUGCUGCUAACUUUGAAGAAAAGCAGAAAUGGCAUUGAUCUCUGGGAAAACCCAGAGCGAUGCAAAGCGUACAGCUGGAGUCAAAAUGCAGCUUCAAAGUAAACAAAUCAUUUUUUUCCGUCUUAGAAAACGUUUUGCGUAACGAAUGAGCGCCAGAGGUAAAGAUUUGGCCCCCUGCUGCUGUUAAUUAACUUCCUGUCAUGAUGGCGGUCCUGAACCAACUUCCACUGUUUUCCCUCUUCUGGGUUUCAACCCGUCAGACUGAAUUAUUUAGUUUCUAGAAACUUAUGAUUCGUGACGGGAAAGUAAAUGUUUGUCUUUAUUUAAACUUUGGUGUAAUUUGUCAAACAGAAAAAUAUUUCCUGGCUUGUUGCAUUUUUAGUCUCGUUUUGUAAUUUAAUCUGAAGUCCAUAAUUUAAACUAUGUUGGGUGAUUUAUAGAAAAGCUAAAGUCACGUUGUUAAUGUUUUACCUGCACAGGUAAUGGAGGGAAAAUGUUCAGCGUCUCCAACCGACCAGAGAUGAACAAAAACCCAAAACAAAGAGAUAAACGGACAAACUAGAGAUUCAAUCUCUGGAUGUUUUGGCCAAAUUUCAUUAAAGUCCAUCUUUGAUAAACACAACAGCUAAAAUCUGACGCCUCCAUCUUGUUUCCAUUCGGUGAAGAAGGAAGUUGCUCUCAGAGUCUUCAGAGGUUUUUGUGUGAUUUCCUUCGGUGAUUCUUGGUGCAGCGCCCCCACAGGCCAGGAGGGGAACAGGUUGGUGACUCAGGGCAGUGAGAAAUGUCAGGAGGGAAAACAGCCAAAAAAAAGAACCUGCAUGGCAGAUUCACAGUUUUUCUCCACCAAAACCAACAUGUCAUCAUUUCAUUGACUUCAAUCUAUUACAAAAGCAUUUCUAAAGUAACUUCAUGUUUUAGUUUUUUCUAAUGAAGGACAGGACAAUUUACAGUUUACUGCCUUUAGCCAUCGAGCUUGACAUUGUAAAGAUUCGUUGUUGGUCCCAUUUGUGCCUCAACAUCUGAAUUCCUGCUUUACAAAUGGGUAAAAUUCAAUCUUUGAAAUUGGGAUAUUCUUCUCUGACUCCGUCCUCUCGCUGUGAUUUCCUGCUGGACAGUGAAAUCUGUUCCAAAACCGUUUUUCUUUCCCAUUAAAUCAGUCUCUGUUGCUAUCCUAUGAUCUGCUUUCUGACGUUUAGAGAUGCUUCUGCUGUGGAUCUCAGUUCAUCUCAGAUGAAGAAGAUCUGGGAAGUCGCUGCAGCCAAACUGAAAGCAGCUAAUAAAAAAAUCUGUUGUGUGAAAGACAGAUGGGGCCUGACAGGAAAUGUAAUGGCUGCUCCAUUUGCACUGAGGCUGUUUUAUUGAUUUAUUUUGGUUUAAGUUUGCAGUUGUUUCAGAUUUAAAGUUUGAUUUGUAAAGUAAAUGAAACCACACAGAGGGAGCCGAUCUGUUCCAGGAACCGGGCAGAAAACCUGCAGGUCGGCUGACCGGAGGAUGUUUGAGGCCAGCGCUUUGCUCCUCGCAGCUGCCAGCAGGAGGUCAUUUGUCAAACAGAGAACAACGGCUGGGAGGAUUUAAUGGGAGGAUUUCCACUCUGCAAAGUAUCUGAGGUGGAGGAUCCACAGCAGAGAUUUUCCACUCACUGUGGGAACUUCAAACUGCGGACAAAACAUUUCUGAUCGUCCGAUAUGAGAGACGGUGGUUUUUAAAGCUCAACUGAUGCUUUAAGACUAAAAUGGUUUAUCCAACGUUUCUCCAUGUUUAUCAUCAUUUUAGAUUUUUUCUCCAGGUUUUGAUGCCUGUAAUAGUUUGUCUGAAUGUUUAUAUAACAGAAUAAAAGUGGCUGAAGUUUCUUUAUAUAGAUAAUUUAAGAUUCAAGACAAACUGAUGUGAUGCAUUUUCUGUUAAAUAUUUGAGUUUUUUUACAGAAAUAUUUAACUAUAUUGUUUAAUUCAUUCUUAACAUAUUUAUAUUUUAUUUUAAACAAGUGCAAAACAUGAAGUUAGCCCCAUAAAUAUGAAGAGAUAAAAAUGAACCCACAUGAUGCAGAAAACAAACCAUCUGUUACUGAGGGUCUGAUUUUCACUCUGAGUAAAAACCUUCUGAAGUUUUCUGAUGUUUACACAGAAAAUAAGAUGAAAAACAAUCAAAUGUAAAGAUUGCUUAGAAAGGCCACAAAAUAAUAAAUGUAGAGACUGAAAAAUAAUUUGAAUAUUUAUAUUGCCACAUAUUUUCCUUUCAGUUUUGUGUUUGUUGACGUCUCUCUGAGGAUCUUUGUAUUUUUUUAUGUGUUUUCUGAAUCUCUGACUGCAGGAUCUUUAUGUGUUGUUGCCUGAUUCUAAUAUUUUUAUGUUUGUUUGUUUGUUUUGACUCGUCUCAGUUAUUUUUUUCUCAUAUUCAGCUCUUUCAUGCAGAGUUUUUAAAAAAAAAACUUCAUCCAUUUUCCAGCUGCAUUCAACGUCUUUGUGUUUCUUCUAUGGUUCCUUCACAUUGUAAUGAAGCUCUGGACAGAUCCUGGAUCCCUACCAGAUCCCUACCGGAUCCCUGCCGGGUCGGUUGUUGGUGCCGCUCGGCGUCAGGUUCUGAUGCUGCUGCACAGAUCCAACAGCGUUUUUUUCCCCUCCAUUCCAGCAUUUAUAAAGCCAGUAGUAAAGACACAAACACUGCAGGCUCAACAGGCCGGCGUCACCAUGGCAACCCCAUCCUCCACAUCUGCCUUUCCUGCUGUUUCCUCCUCCUCCUUCUUGUCUAACAGAAAAUCCAUACAGAGGGGAGGAAAGAGAGGAAGAAUCAAUUCCUCCUGGAAGAAGCUUUGUGUUUGUCUCUGCUGCGACACUCAGAUGCUUUGAUUUCCUGAUUUACUCGUCACUGAUGUUUCUGUUACCGGUCUCAAGAAAAGGAAGUAGAAACCAUUGAUUUGUAAAAAAGAAUAAAAUAAAAUAACUUUC